UGAGUCAGCUGGACAGUUGCUGCCUGUUACCUUUUAAAGGUGAUGGAUGGAGGAAAGUCCGGGCUCCGCAGAGCAAGGUGCCAGGUAACGCCUGGGGGGUGUGAACCCACGGAAAGUGCAGCAGAAAAUAUACCGCCGGUCAUUUCUCACGAAAUGGCAGGUAAGGGUGAAAUGGUGCGGUAAGAGCGCACCGCGCGACUGGUAACAGUUCGUGGCAUGGUAAACCCCACCUGGAGCAAGGCCAAAUAGGAAUCCUACGGUGUGGCUCGCACUGGAUUCGGGUAGGCUGCUAGAGGUUUGUGGUGACGCAAACUAUAGAUGAAUAACUGUCCACGACAGAACCCGGCUUAUAGGCUGGCUCAACUU
rnacentral:RNase_P_RNA from 1 species